rnacentral:rRNA from 1 species
CUACGGGGCGCACCAGUGGGGAAUAUUGCACAAUGGGCGCAAGCCUGAUGCAGCCAUGCCGCGUGUAUGAAGAAGGCCUUCGGGUCGUAAAGUACUUUCAGCGGGGAGGAAGGGAGUAAAGUUAAUACCUUUGCUCAUUGACGUUACCCGCAGAAGAAGCACCGGCUAACUCCGUGCCAGCAGCCGCGGUAAUACGGAGGGUGCAAGCGUUAAUCGGAAUUACUGGGCGUAAAGCGCACGCAGGCGGUUUGUUAAGUCAGAUGUGAAAUCCCCGGGCUCAACCUGGGAACUGCAUCUGAUACUGGCAAGCUUGAGUCUCGUAGAGGGGGGUAGAAUUCCAGGUGCAGCGGUGAAAUGCGUAGAGAUCUGGAGGAAUACCGGUGGCGAAGGCGGCCCCCUGGACGAAGACUGACGCUCAGGUGCGAAAGCGUGGGGAGCAAACAGGAUUAGAUACCCCAGUAGUC